rnacentral:rRNA from 1 species
AAUGGGGGCAACCCUGAUCCAGCCAUGCCGCGUGAGUGAAGAAGGCCUUCGGGUUGUAAAGCUCUUUCGGCCGGGAAGAAAUCGCUUGGGUGAAUACCCUGUGUGGAUGACGGUACCGGAACAAGAAGCACCGGCUAACUACGUGCCAGCAGCCGCGGUAAUACGUAGGGNGCGAGCGUUAAUCGGAAUUACUGGGCGUAAAGCGUGCGUAGGCGGUUUGGUCAGUCAGCCGUGAAAGCCCCGGGCUUAACCUGGGAAUGGCGGUUGAGACGGCUGGACUUGAGUGGGCUAGAGGAUCGUGGAAUUCCGGGUGUAGCGGUGAAAUGCGUAGAGAUCCGGAGGAACACCGAUGGCGAAGGCAGCGGUCUGGGGCCACACUGACGCUGAGGCACGACAGCGUGGGGAGCAAA